UACAGAGGGUGCAAGCGUUACUCGGAUUUACUGGGCGUAAAGCGUGCGUAGGCGGCUCGCUAAGUCGGUUGUGAAAUCCCUGGGCUUAACCUGGGAACUGCAGUCGAUACUGGCGGACUAGAGUACGGUAGAGGGUGGCGGAACUCCGGGUGUAGCGGUGAAAUGCGUAGAUAUCCGGAAGAACACCGAUGGCGAAGGCAACCACCUGGGCCUGUACUGACGCUGAGGUACGAAAGCGUGGGGAGCAAACAGG
rnacentral:rRNA from 1 species